rnacentral:lncRNA from 1 species
AAAAUGAGCAAACAAUGAAAAAAGAAACUAAAUAUAGAAAGCUAUUUUGGUGACAGGGUAGACUUAAACUUAGAAGACAACAAAGUCAAUACUGCUGCACCCAAAACUUCCAAGAAAAAUAUUAAUUGCUUUCAAGUCCAAAAAGAAUUAAUGAAGGAAUUCAAAAAUGGGAUUUUAAAAAUCAGAGAGGUAGAAGAAAAAAAUUGAGAAAAAAUAUGAGUGAUACAGGAAAAUCAUGAAAAAAGAGAAACCCAGAUCCUACAGAGACCAAUGUUAAAGUGACUGAAAUUCUCUCAACUAUAUUUUUAACAAAAUGUUUCUUUAAUCUACUGAGUUCUACUACAUAACAACUAGGAUGUUUGGGGGGAACUCAAGCCUUGGCAGCCCAAACCCUCUGAGAGGAAGUCAGGUUGACUCACCCCUGGGCAACAGGAGCUGAGAGGCAGGAAAGCAGGAUUUCUAAGUAGAGCAGAACUGACAGGGGUCAGUGAGCCAGAGCUGAAGAUUCCAUUACCAAGGUGAGGAGGGGAGAGAUAAAGAAGGAAUCAGUUGGCAGCUUGGAAGACAACAAAAGUAAUCCACCAACCUCAUCCUCCAUAGUAACUAGGAUGAUAGAUUUCUGUUGGAGGCAGAAGUUGGAUCUUGGUGGAAAAUUCAAUAGAGCAACAGGACCUGAAGUCAGAAGACCCGAGUCCAAAUGCAUAUGCUAUCAUUAGAACCUUGGCCAAGUCAUAGAACCUCAGCCUGCUUUUGUUUCCCCUCUGUGUAAAGCAGGAAGCACCUGCCUCCCAGAGUUAUUGUGAGAGUAAAAUGAAUUAAUAUUUGUUAAGUACUACAGAAAUGAUAGUUUUAAUUAAAAAAUAGUAUUAUUAGGUAAUUUAUCACAUCUAUAUAACUGGCAGCUAGGUGGUGCAGUGGAUAGAAUAUAAGGCCUGGAUUCAGGUAGACUCAUGAGUUCAAAUCUGACCUCAAACACAUGCUAGCUAUGUGAGCCUGAGUAAGUUAUUUAACCCUGUUUGGGACAGUUUCCUCCUCUGAAAAAUGAGCUGGGAAAGGAAAUGGCAGACCACUUCAAUAUAUUUACCAAGAAAACCUGAAAGAGGGCUACACAGAAUUAGACACAACAACAACAACAAAAAAGACUAACACAUAAUGUCAUAUAAUUAAAUGUAUUUACAACCAUAUAUAUGUGUAAAAUAUGUAAAUAUGUCCAUUAUUAUUACUAUCUCAUAAUUUAU